rnacentral:rRNA from 1 species
AUUUCAGCAUUUUGCUAUUUUCCCAAAAGACCCCUCUUUUAGUAUCUUUGCCGUAAUAACGUUUCACCAUCAUAUUCGGAAUGGGAUGAUGUGGUUCCAUUAUGCUAUGAACACCGA